CCUAUCUUGAGUCGGAGAGAGCUUUCAAGCUCUGUGAAUCUUCUUCUUCUACUUCAAGAAGACUGUCUUUCGCUGCUUAAGAUGUUGUGGGUAGCUGGGAAUAACAAAUGUGGCAGCUUUAUGCUUCGGCACAUCCCUCCAUCUACCUCAAAUUCGUAAGGCACAACGCUUAGGUGGACAAGGGGAAAUUGAAUGGAAUUCGCGGUGAAGCGAGGAAGUCAUUGGAGGAGUUAUAUAACAUAAAAGGUGGAGUACUACGUGUCCAAGGAUCGAUUGGAGAGACUAUAAGUAUCACGCUGGUCAAUGUGGAAAACGGGGAAGUGUAGGUUGUCAUGGGGCUGACAGGUGGCCCAGUUGGUGUAUGUCGUAGAAGGGGAAGUUAGGGUUGUUCCAGAGGGGAGUGAAGAAUACCUGAGUUUUGUAGCCGGUGAUCUUUUUCGCUAUCGUAAGUGGUUCGAAGCCUUACCAAGAGCGUUAUAGCUUCAGAGCUUCGUUUUCCGGGUGGGGGGCAUAGCUGUUUUGAAGAUAGUGAUGAAGCUAGAAUAAGAGAGAAAAGGAAGAAGUUCUGGGAGAAGGCAGUUGAGGUAGAUGAACUUUGUGGGGCUGGUGAAGCAUGGUGGGUGUCAGGGCAUAUGCGGGAUGAUUUGAACCACACUAACAAGGCAAUAUCCUAUAAGGAGCAUUUUCAAAACAGCAGGUUUGUUGAAAUCUGUUCUAGAUGUAAACUGGGAGCUACCUCCAGUUGCUGGUCGAUCACUGAUGCAUCAGUCACGAUAUGAUCCUGCACGUUCAGUUAGUCCAGUUGCGGAUGAUGGAAGGUUUGGCUCAUUUCAAAAGUUUGGGUUAAGUAGAUUCGACUCAUCUGUAUCCAGUGGAUACACUCAGAUGUGAGGCUAGGAAGUCAUUGGAGGAGUUAUAUAACAUAAAGGUGGAGCAUAACGUGGCAAAGGGUAGACUGGAGAAACUAGCAGUGUCACGCUGGUCAACGUGGGAAACAGGGAAGUGUAGUUUGUCAUGGGACUGGCAGUUGGACCAGUUGGUGAACGUCGUAGAAGGGGAAGAUAGGGUUGUUCCAGAAGGGACGAAUAAUACAUGAGCUUUGUAGCCAGCAGAACGUUUGAAGCUGACUUAUGGUUCAAUGCCCCUUACCAAGAGCUUUACAGCUUCAGAGCUUAUGGCGAUGGCCAAAUUCUUCUCUUCGUUUUCUAGGUGGUUGACAUAGCUGUUUUCAAGAUAGUGAUGAAGCUAGAACAAGGGAGAAAAAGAAGAAGUUGUGGGAGAAGGCAGUUGACAUAAAUGAAUUUUGUGGGCCUUGUGAAGCAUGGUGGGGGUGUCAGAGGGCAUAUGGGGGAUGAUUUCAACCAGACUAACAAGGCAAUAUCGUAUAAGGAGCAUUUUCAAAACAGCAGGUUUGUUGAAUCAGUUCUAGAUACUGGGAGCUACAUGCUGGUCCAUCACUGACACAUCAGACACGAUAUGAUCCUGCACGUUCAGUUGUUGAUCCUGCUUAUUUCAGAGGUUAGGAUUAAGCAGAUUCGACUCAUCUGUAUUCAAUGGAUACACUCAGAUGGUAUAUGUUCAAAUUUCGAAAUCUGGUUCUUAAUAUUUGUCAUAAGACAGGAUCAUUAGAU